rnacentral:rRNA from 1 species
AGUGAACGCUGGCGGUAGGCCUAACACAUGCAAGUCGAACGGCAGCACAGUAAGAGUUUGCUCUUACGGGUGGCGAGUGGCGGAUGGGUGAGGCAUACAUCGGAAUCUACUUUUUCGUGGGGGAUAACGUAGGGCCACUUACGCUAAUACCGCAUACGAUCUACGGGUGAAAGCAGGGGAUCUUCGGACCUUGCGCGAUUGAAUGAGCCGAUGUCGGAUUAGCUAGUUGGGAGGGUAAAGGCCCACCAAGGCGACGAUCCGUAGCUGGUCUGAGAGGAUGAUCCGCCACACUGGAACUGAGACACGGUCCAGACUCCUACGGGAGGCAGCAGUGGGGAAUAUUGGACAAUGGGCGCAAGCCUGAUCCAGCCAUACCGCGUGAGUGAAGAAGGCCUUCGGGUUGUAAAGCCCUUUUGUUGGGAAAGAAAAGCAGCAGGUUAAUACCCCGCUGUUCUGACGGUACCCAAAGAAUAAGCACCGGCUAACUUCGUG